GAUGAACGCUGGCGGCGUGCCUAAUACAUGCAAGUCGAGCGAACGGACGAGAAGCUUGCUUUUCUGAUGUUAGCGGCGGACGGGUGAGUAACACGUGGAUAACCUACCUAUAAGACUGGGAUAACUUCGGGAAACCGGAGCUAAUACCGGAUAAUAUUUUGAACCGCAUGGUUCAAAAGUGAAAGACGGUCUUGCUGUCACUUAUAGAUGGAUCCGUGCUGCAUUAGCUAGUUGGUAAGGUAACGGCUUACCAAGGCAACGAUGCAUAGCCGACCUGAGAGGGUGAUCGGCCACACUGGAACUGAGACACGGUCCAGACUCCUACGGGAGGCAGCAGUAGGGAAUCUUCCGCAAUGGGCGAAAGCCUGACGGAGCAACGCCGCGUGAGUGAUGAAGGUCUUCGGAUCGUAAAACUCUGUUAUUAGGGAAGAACAUAUGUGUAAGUAACUGUGCACAUCUUGACGGUACCUAAUCAGAAAGCCACGGCUAACUACGU
rnacentral:rRNA from 1 species